rnacentral:lncRNA from 1 species
GUCUCCUCUAGGCAAUGUGGACUCUGGGGCUGCUGCAUGACGAAUAAGACGAGAAACAGCCCCCACUGCAGGCAUCAUCCCAUUUAGUCAAACAAACGAGACGGUGCUUCCACUCACAGCUGACAUGUACACUGUCCAUCUGCACUUUUCUGCCUCGUUGAAUUAGGGAUGGCCGUGUGACUUACUCCAGUGAAAUGCAAGACAAAGCAGUAUGUUAUUUCAGGGCUUUAAAAGGCAGUACAGAAUUCUCCACGUAUCCUUUCCUGCCUCAGCAACUGUGGAUCCAAAUGCUGAGAUGAAGCUUCUAUUGGUCCAGUGUCUUGAAAUGAGUGAGGUAACAUGUAGCCUAUUUUCUACUAGUGAGCAACUUAUAUCCAUGAUGAAGCCAACGCUGUUAUCAGAAAAGAGACAGAAAGAAGUCGGACCCUUGAUCAUGCUAUUGAACUAGAUGAGCCGGUUCUGACAUGCGCUCCCAAGCUCACAAGCCAAACAGCACGUUACUCCUGUACCUGGUUUGAUUUGGGUUGUCUGUUACUUGCAUUUAAAAGCAUCUUAAGUGUUGAACUUGCCAAAAGCCUUAUUGAAAUGAAAAAAUAGAAGGUCUAUGUGUGUUUUUUUCAAACAACCAGUCUAAUAAUAUUAAGAAGGGAAUGAAA